UAGUCCCUGCCGUGUUCGUGACUUGGCCAUACAUUCCUUGAACCAAUGCUUAUGGCAUGCAGGUUGUUGGAUUGACAAGUAGGAGUGCUUUCCAUUUAUGGCGAGCCCGAAGCUUGACUGAAGGCGACCACCUUGAACCCACGGUUCCAGGAUGCCGGCCUAGACGGCACAGGCGGGGCAAUU
rnacentral:other from 1 species